rnacentral:tRNA from 1 species
GCCUGGGUGGCUCAGUGGGCUAAGCGUCCGACUUCGGCUCAGGUCAUGAUCUCACAGUUUGUGGGUUCGAGCCCCACGUCGGGCU